AUUGGGCGUAAAGCGAGCGCAGGCGGUUUGAUAAGUCUGAAGUUAAAGGCUGUGGCUCAACCAUAGUUCGCUUUGGAAACUGUCAAACUUGAGUGCAGAAGGGGAGAGUGGAAUUCCAUGUGUAGCGGUGAAAUGCGUAGAUAUAUGGAGGAACACCGGUGGCGGAAGCGGCUCUCUGGUCUGUAACUGACGCUGAGGCUCGAAAGCGUGGGGAGCGAACAGGAUUAGAUACCCUGGUAGUCCACGCCGUAAACGAUGAGUGCUAGGUGUUGGGUCCUUUCCGGGAUUCAGUGCCGCAGCUAACGCAUUAAGCACUCCGCCUGGGGAGUACGACCGCAAGGUUGAAACUCAAAGGAAUUGACGGGGGCCCGCACAAGCGGUGGAGCAUGUGGUUUAAUUCGAAGCAACGCGAAGAACCUUACCAGGUCUUGACAUCCCUCUGACCGCUCUAGAGAUAGAGCUUUCCUUCGGGACAGAGGUGACAGGUGGUGCAUGGUUGUCGUCAGCUCGUGUCGUGAG
rnacentral:rRNA from 1 species